CAGCCGCCACGGGAAUACGGAGGGUGCAAGCGUUAAUCGGAAUUACUGGGCGUAAAGCGCACGCAGGCGGUCUGUUAAGUCAGAUGUGAAAUCCCCGGGCUCAACCCGGGAACUGCAGUGGAUACUGGGUCACUAGAGUGUGGUAGAGGAUAGUGGAAUUUCCGGUGUAGCAGUGAAAUGCGUAGAGAUCGGAAGGAACAUCUGUGGCGAAGGCGACUAUCUGGGCCAACACUGACACUGAGGCACGAAAGCGUGGGGAGCAAACAGGAUUAGAUACCCCAGUAGUCCCUGUCUCUUAUAC
rnacentral:rRNA from 1 species